rnacentral:tRNA from 1 species
UAAAAAUCCGCCGGAAUAGCUCA